rnacentral:rRNA from 1 species
UACGGGAUAAUAUAUUUGAGAGGCAUCUCUUGAAUAUCAAAGGUGAGCCAGUACAGGAUGGACCCGCGUCUGAUUAGCUAGUUGGUAAGGUAACGGCUUACCAAGGCGACGAUCAGUAGCCGACCUGAGAGGGUGAUCGGCCACAUUGGAACUGAGACACGGUCCAAACUCCUACGGGAGGCAGCAGUGGGGAAUAUUGCACAAUGGGCGAAAGCCUGAUGCAGCAACGCCGCGUGAGUGAUGAAGGCCUUCGGGUCGUAAAACUCUGUCCUCAAGGAAGAUAAUGACGGUACUUGAGGAGGAAGCCCCGGCUAACUACGUGCCAGCAGCCGCGGUAAUACGUAGGGGGCUAGCGUUAUCCGGAUUUACUGGGCGUAAAGGGUGCGUAGGCGGUCUUUCAAGUCAGGAGUGAAAGGCUACGGCUCAACCGUAGUAAGCUCUUGAAACUGGGAGACUUGAGUGCAGGAGAGGAGAGUGGAAUUCCUAGUGUAGCGGUGAAAUGCGUAGAUAUUAGGAGGAACACCAGUU